CUGGAGUUGCCACUGAGUCAGGCGAUUCUUGCUGCCACCCCCAUUCAGUUGGAGAGACAUGCCACACCAUUAUUGGGCUGUUAGGAGAUUCAGUGAACAGAGGCAGCAUGUAUGACUUGGCUGGGGGAGUAACUCGUGGUUCUGUGACCAAGUUUUGCUGGCAGCUUAUAAAUCCUGGCCAUAAAAGCAAGCCGUGCUGUCUGCCGCGGGGCCUGCAGCAUUAACCUCAGCGCCACGCAAGGUCGGUUAAAGUGAACUACAAAGAGCCACGCACCAUGACGAAUGACGGAAAGAGCCGAUGGGUUUUCCGAUUGACGGCGGGCUAUAUGUACGUUAGUGAUGGCGACUCCGUGCACAGGCACUUGAAACGUCUUGGAAAAAAAGAAGCCAACGCAAGUUUCUCUCCCUCUCGCGUUCUUGCCAUCACCACUGCGCGUAUGGGGACUCGCCUGCCUCGCGCAGACAAAUCUUCUACAGGAUUGGAAUCAUUCUGACAAUUCGU